rnacentral:lncRNA from 1 species
GAAAUGCUGUCUCUACUAAAAAUACAAAAACUACCCAGGCAUGGUGGCACACACCUGUAAUCCCAGCUACUUGGGAGGCUGUGGCAGGAGAAUCACUUGAACCCGGGAGGCGGAGGUUACAGUGAGCUGAGAUCAUGCCACGGCACUCCAGCCCAGGUGACAGAUCUAAACUCCAUCUCAAAAAAUUAAAAAAUAAUAAUAAUAAAAUUAAAGGCCCUCAGGAGGUGCUAUGCACAACUGGUGUUGAGGACCACUGGCUGGGGAUGAGGUCUAUGGUGUCUUAAGCUCUGAGAUCUGGGAUGCUGGAUGACUUAUGUGGAAGAAAUUCUAGAGACAUGAGUUUGCUAUGAACUGAGCUGGUGAAGAUUUGGAAUUAAAGGAAAGGGGGAGGGAAAAGAAAAGCUAAAGGACCAGAGGAGACAGGCCAGAUUGUUGUUUUCGCUGUUAGUGAGCUAGAGAAACUUGGUUCCUCUGUUUCUAGGCUUUUGAGGCAAAAUAAAAGGCCCACAAAAAUCCAAAAGGUCUGAUAACCCAGUCCCUUCUCAUAAAAAGAAUAGCUAUCAAGCCUGAUAUCAGACAUGGAGAUUAGGCAGGAAACACUGAGCUAAGAAUAUUCCCUUCCUUCGAUUAAAGACCUUUUUUUUUAAAUUAAUGCUCUCCUAG